rnacentral:rRNA from 1 species
ACUGAGAAUUUGAUCUUGGUUCAGAUUGAACGCUGACGGCGUGGAUGAGGCAUGCAAGUCGAACGGAAUACCUUCAUGAAGCGGGCUUGCUCGUGGAUUGGUGGUAUUGAGUGGCGAAAGGGUUAGUAAUACAUGGGCAAUCUGCCUCUAACUUGGGAAUAACGGCUGGAAACGGACGCUAAUACCCGAUGUGGUGAGCAGUAGGCAUCUACUGCAUAUUAAAGCGGGGGACCUUCGGGCCUCGCGGUUGGAGAGGAGCCCAUGCGAUAUCAGCUUGUUGGUGAGGUAAUGGCUCACCAAGGCUAAGACGUCUAGGCGGAUUGAGAGGUUGACCGCCAACACUGGGACUGAGACACUGCCCAGACUCCUACGGGAGGCUGCAGUCGAGAAUCAUUCGCAAUGGGCGAAAGCCUGACGAUGCGACGCCGUGUGAACGAAGAAGGCCUUUGGGUUGUAAAGUUCUUUCGUUUGGGAAUAAGCAAUGCGGAUCAAUACUCCGCAAAGCUGAAGGUACCAGAAAAAGAAGCACCGGCUAACUCCGUGCCAGCAGCUGCGGUAAUACGGAGGGUGCAAGCGUUAAUCGGAUUUAUUGGGCGUAAAGGGGGCGUAGGCGGGAACGCAAGUCUGUUGUGAAAUCCCAGGGCUCAACCCUGGAACUGCAUCAGAAACUGUGUUUCUUGAGGAUAGACGGAGAAAACAGAAUUUCACAUGUAGCGGUGAAAUGCGUAGAUAUGUGAAGGAAUACCGGUGGCGAAGGCGGUUUUCUAGUUUAUUCCUGACGCUGAGGCCCGAAGGCUAGGGGAGCAAACAGGAUUAGAUACCCUGGUAGUCCUAGCAGUAAACGAUGUAUACUUGGUGUAGCUGGCUUCAAUCCCAGCUUUGCCGUAGCUAACGCGAUAAGUAUACCGCCUGGGGAGUACGCUCGCAAGGGUGAAACUCAAAAGAAUUGACGGGGACCCGCACAAGCAGUGGAGCAUGUGGUUUAAUUCGAUGCAACGCGAAGAACCUUACCCAGACUUGACAUGUAGUGGACGGUACCAGAAAUGGUACUUCUCGUAUGAGCCGCUACACAGGUGCUGCAUGGCUGUCGUCAGCUCGUGCCGUGAGGUGUUGGGUUAAGUCCCGCAACGAGCGCAACCCUUAUCGUUAGUUGCCAACACGUAAUGGUGGGAACUCUAACGAGACUGCCUAGGUUAACUAGGAGGAAGGUGAGGAUGAGGUCAAGUCAGCAUGGCCCUUAUGUCUGGGGCUACACACGUGCUACAAUGGUCGGUACAAAAGGCAGCGAAGCCGCGAGGUGGAGCAAAUCCCCAAAGCCGAUCUUAGUUCGGAUUGCAGUCUGCAACUCGACUGCAUGAAGUUGGAAUUGCUAGUAAUGACGUGUCAGCAAUAACGUCGUGAAUACGUUCCCGGGUCUUGUACACACCGCCCGUCACAUCAUGGAAGUUGGUCUUUCCCGAAGUCGCUGACUCAACCGCAAGGAGAGAGGCGCCGAAGGUGAGGCUGAUGACUAGGAUGAAGUCGUAACAAGGUAGCCCUAUCGGAAGGUGGGGCUGGAUCACCUCCUUUUUAA